rnacentral:miRNA from 1 species
UGAUCGAAUCCUAUGAAGUAGA